rnacentral:snRNA from 1 species
AUACGAACCGUGAAAGCG